CGCGGAGUAGAGCAGUGGUAGCUCGUCGGGCUCAUAACCCGGAGGUCGCAGGUUCGAAUCCUGUCUCCGCAA
rnacentral:tRNA from 1 species